rnacentral:tRNA from 1 species
GCCUGGCUAGCUCAGCUGGUAGAGCAUGAGACUCUUAAUCUCAGGGUCAUGGGGUCAAGCCCCACUUUGGGUG